UACGUGAGGGGCAAGCGUUGUCCGGAUUUAUUGGGCGUAAAGAGCGUGUAGGCGGCCAGACAGGUCAGCUGUGAAAACUCGAGGCUCAACCUCGAGACGUCGGUUGAAACCGUCUGGCUAGAGUCCGGAAGAGGAGAGUGGAAUUCCCGGUGUAGCGGUGAAAUGCGCAGAUAUCGGGAAGAACACCCGUGGCGAAGGCGGCUCUCUGGGACGGUACUGACGCUGAGGAGCGAAAGCGGUGGG
rnacentral:rRNA from 1 species